CCUCUUCUCCUUCACAUGCCCAAAGGGUUGGGCAUCACAUCUUCCACACACCAAGAGUAGAGGUGCUGUCCAUCUUUAGUGAAGAAAGUAGAGAAAAAACUACAGAUCAAGAAGUUGAUCCCACAGUCUCGAUCAAAGAGUUGAUCGAGAUUCUCAAGGUUGAGAUUAUAUUUGGAGAAGAAGAAUCUACUAUGAAGAGAUCAAUUCAAGAUUGAUCUCGAUAGAUAUCUGUAGAGGUCAGACAUAUGUGCGACUCGAGCAUCUAUGAAUCCGUGAUCAUCGUUAGCAGUGAAUAUCUACCCACGCUAAGGUAUUGAGAUUCGAUCUCAUACUUAUUUUAAAUUUUAGAUUAUAUGUAUAUUUUUCUCUUGAGCUUGGAUAGGAUUAGAUAUGAUCUUAUGCAUGUGGGGUUAAAGGGAUUAACUCGAUUGUUUUCUAUUGCGUUCAAAAAGAAUUUUUGAAAUAUAUACAUGCUACCUACCUGAUUUUCUAACAAUGGUAUCAGAGCUACUGAUUUUUUAAAAACACAUAUGAUCUGAUUUUUUUAUUAGAUCUAAAAGUUUUAAUAAUUUAAAAUUAAUCUUGUGAUGAUAUAAGAUUAUCCUAAUAUAGAGUUUACCCCCUAUAUUGC
rnacentral:lncRNA from 1 species